rnacentral:rRNA from 1 species
AUGCACGCUGGCGGCGCGCCUAAUACAUGCCAGUCGAGCGAACAGACGAGGAGCUUGCUCCUCUGACGUUAGCGGCGGACGGGUGAGUAACACGUGGAUAACCUACCUAUAAGACUGGGAUAACUUCGGGAAACCGGAGCUAAUACCGGAUAAUAUAUUGAACCGCAUGGUUCAAUAGUGAAAGACGGUUUUGCUGUCACUUAUAGAUGGAUCCGCGCCGCAUUAGCUAGUUGGUAAGGUAACGGCUUACCAAGGCGACGAUGCGUAGCCGACCUGAGAGGGUGAUCGGCCACACUGGAACUGAGACACGGUCCAGACUCCUACGGGAGGCAGCAGUAGGGAAUCUUCCGCAAUGGGCGAAAGCCUGACGGAGCAACGCCGCGUGAGUGAUGAAGGUCUUCGGAUCGUAAAACUCUGUUAUUAGGGAAGAACAAAUGUGUAAGUAACUAUGCACGUCUUGACGGUACCUAAUCAGAAAGCCACGGCUAACUACGUG